CGGCUGCUCCUGCUCCGGAAACGCCAUCGGGGGGCCCAGCGAGGGCGAGCUAUGCCAGGAGAAAAGCAGCCUCGGAGCAUGUCUAAGCACUGCAUAAAAGUUGGAGCUCUGUCUCAAAGGACUGUCUGAAAUCGAUGCAAGCUGAAAACAGAAGUUAGCCAUGCCCUUGGAUGAUAACACAAGCAGGAUUCAGAAACUCGGUCUACAACUACAACCCACUGACUCAAUGAACUUGAAACAUCCCAUUUAAAAAAAAAACAAAACAAAAACAAAAACAAAAAAAACCCAGCUCCAAAUGAGAAGUUCCCAGGAGCAUGACAAGCCAGUGGGUAAAAUAAAAUAACGUGUGGGCUGGACAAAGCACUAUCAAGGAAACGCCUUGAUCUUGAACUGUGGCCGCCAGAUCACAGAGCAGUCUUGAGGGAGGACAUCAGGUUCCCAUCCGAUUGCUGCUUUUAUUAAAUGGUCCCAGAAUAUCCCAUUACAGAAAGAGGGUGCACACGGCUACCACAGGCAUUAGCUGACUGCUCAACUAUGUCCCUGCAACAUAAAAAAAUAAAAUGACAAAGGAGCUGAUGAAAGAGAAACAAUCAAAAAGAAAUUAAAACUGACCGGUAUCUUAAUCUACAGUAUAUUGCCUUGUGUUGUCCUGAAUAGCUAGGUAGGGAUGUUGGUACUAAAUAGAAAAAAAUUAACCCUGCUCUUUUUAUUUAAUCUUGAUGUUAAGAACCAUUCAUGUUGCCAUUGCAGCCGUUACAUUUGGCACAAAUUUGGGCUGCUCUCACUUUUCUGAGAAAUCUUAUUCCCUGUCCUGAGGAAUCUUAUUCCCCGUUAAAAUCCAAGAGAACUUUACAAAGAGGGUAAGCAGCCCAGUUUCAGGCAUGUUGGGGGAGUCUGUAGUUAGCACAGUUCACAGCAUAGACAUUUAAACCUCUUUUGGUAAAUAUGUCAGGAAAAGCAAAAGGGUUAAAAAUCAUUUAAAGUCACUAAAAUAUGGAGCCACACAACAACCAAAAGCUAUGGAAAUAGAUGAUCACAGAAGAGACACUUUCAGAAUAUAAAAGCUGGCAAGAAAAUAUUAAAUUUCAACUCUACUAAAUUAAAUAUCUUCUGAAGGUUUUUUGUCUUAAAGAGAUUGCUGAGCUCAUAAUCAAUCAGUCUGGCUACUUAGACACAGCACCCCAUCGGAGGAUUUAGCAAAAAUGAAGUACUAAAUUAUUCAGCAUUUAAGCAAUUGUGUAAGGAAUAUGUAGCUGAAAAGGACAAACUGCAAACCAAGAUUAUUUCCCCAUUACAUCAGUAUGUACUGUAGUUUUAACAGGGCUUUCCAGGGAGAUAUCUAGACAUUUUUCCCAUGCACAGAAUUGAGACCCCAGCUUUUAAUCUUGUAUUUUAAAGUCAAAUUACUCUAGUAUUUAUAUACAUCUGAAAAGGAUCACUGCUCUCUCAACUUUUGAAAUUACCAUUUUUACUGUAUUUACAGCUAUGUUUUCUCUUUCUCAGUUAGGCUAUGUUUCUAUAAAAAAUACCCAACAAAACCUCCUGCCCUUCUCUAUUACAAAUUUGCAAAAUGUUAAGCUUAUAAAGAAAUACUAGGAAAGUCUCAUCUUUGUAUACCUGUACUACACAUGUAUCAUACAUGAGUAUGUCCAAGGAGUCACAGAGAUAACAUUUUUCAGAUAAGUACUACAUAUUUUCAGAAAAACAACUGGGAAUUACUAAGUGUAAAAAUUUCAGUUUCCUCAGAAAGGUUUUUCAAGCUGUCAUGUACACAAACCAGAUGAGAUUUACAUUUUCCAUGAAGAGUUUUGAUGAAUUUUGGGUAUGCUUUGAUACAUCAGCUCUAAUCUUCUGGAAGAAUUUCCCUUUUUAAGUUUUUCUCCAGAUUCAUUAUCAACCUUUUGAAUGUCUUACAAAACAUGAAUACAAGCCUGCUAGUGCUGGAGACUGUAUCCCAGCUGUUAAUACCCAUAAGAACAAUGACAAAAUGGGCACUAUUGCAUGCAAUUUCAUGCAAUUUUCAUACACAGCUGUUAAAACACAGGCAGGAGUUCUGUAACACUGGAAUUCACAAAGAACCGAUACUGUAAAAUGUUACACCAACACCUGACAAAAUGGAAAAUGUUGUUUGCCAGUGCCUGCAUCUCAAGGUCACGGCAUUAAACAGCAUCAAAAUAACUUGUUAAGGUGAUAAAUUUUGUCUCAAGCCCCCAUCUCUUUUAUUUUAGCAUUGGAUUUCCUUCUGGCAGCUGCACUAAAAUACUAAACCACUCUCAGAGGCUGAAUGACACGAUCUGGGCAUCACGGUUUAUUGACUCAUGACAGAUAACCAACACACAUUUCAAUUCUUUGAUCAGUGGUAGGGUUUCUUACUUACCUUUCAAAUGAAUGCUGCAAAUUUCUGAACAGUAGAAAAACUCAAAUCUAAGGCAAACAAUAAUUUUUAAAACAGGAAGACAUCAACUCCACCUAAUUUAAUAUUAGGAUUUGUUUUUAAAGAGGAACGAUUCUUGACACUUCAUACCAAACGUUUUCAGUUAUUGGUCACAGAGCAAGCAGGAGUGGUGUACUGGAUAAAACUACAGUAGACGUCAGUUCUCAUUCAAAUAUAUUUCCACAUAGUUGAGAUAGCACUGUCUGUUGAACAGAAUUUGAGGUGUUGUGCACUAUUUAAAAACACAAGAGUUUCAAUUCAUCAUCUGUUUCCACGCUGCCAUAGUGAUAAAACAUUUUCGGAGUUCUAACUCCUUUUUUCCCCCUGCCAUAUAUAAAAUGUUAGAAAUCAAAAUGUAAUUCUGACAGAUUUAACCCAUACAUUUACCUAAAUGGAUAAUUCUGUUACUUUGGUGACAGUCUUCAAAAUAAAUCAAACAUGACUAAAUAAACACCUACAACAUGCACCUUUUCCCCCACCGUUUUUCUAAGUAUGUUAAAGAAUGUAAAGAGCCCCAUAUAUUUGUAAAGGCACCUUAAUCAUUCCGCAGCAAAACCACCUUACACAAAGUGCACCAUAAAAAAGUUACACCCUGACCUUACACUGCUGUAUUACUGACCUAUAAUCAACUCUCAUUUUUGUACUGCUAAACUUGUGAGCAGUUCUAGAGAUUUCAUAAUGCAUCUCCUUCAGACCUCAGGGAAAAAAACCUAAUAGAGAGGGAAGGCACACCCCUUGGCAUGUGAGACAGCCACCUUGUUGGUUCCAGGACUGGAACUCUGGUUUAUUAGACUCAAGUCCCUAGCCUGGAUGAACCAUCAGGAAAGUAAGCUGCCAUGCUACCCUUUGAGGGCUGACACAUUCUGCCAGAGGAUUUUGGCUAUUUUUCCUUAGAGGGAAUGGUGACUCUUCAGAUGCAUCCCAGACUAGAAAGGUUUUACAACAACUGCUUCACUGCUUCUACACUUAAGCUCAAUCCCAUUCCCCCUUGUCAAGCUUUGCCUCCUCCAACCCCUCUCCAUGUCAAAGUCCCCAUUACUUGUGGAAACAUCCCAUGGUCUAUUUCAUAAAGGCCCUUUAUGUCUUCUCCAGCCAGUUCCAGUUGUCUGUUCUGUGCUGCACAGAGAAGGUGCAGUCACUGCUUUCAGUGACAUUAGUGUUAGUCCUCACAGGAUGGCUUCAGGCUCUUGUUUGCAUCCACUCACCUUCCCUUAGACCUUUUAUCAUCUCCUCUACAACCAAACUGGACAGCUGCUUCAUUCCUCAAGCUCUAUAGGGGGUCAUUCAACCCAAGCAAGAAAAAACCCCACAGUACAGUCUUUUUGUUUCCAAAGACACCCUUCUUUCAAAGAGCUGCAUGAGGGAAUAUUGCUGGGCUACAGCUGAUGAGACUGGCUCACUUGCUUAGCUCAGGUGGGACACAGAGAGUAUCAGCAGUCCUCCUCAGAUGGACUGAGGGAGGGCAUGUGCCAUGGGAGUUAACUUGCUUGGAAAAUGCUUGGAAAAAACUGUCAAUUGAUCUUCAAAACCUCUCCAGGCCUUGCCAGUAAAUCCCCUGGAUUUAAGGUCUGAGGAAGUACCGCUUCUGUCCUGACAUUUUAGAGCAGAUAUUUUUGAGAUCACAGUAGGGGUUUUUGCUUUAAGUUUAACAUCUUAAUAAACAACUUGAUACUGAGCCUUCUAACAGGAGAAAGCAGAGAACCACACCAAUUUCCCGGCUCAAUACAAAUAAAAAUACAAGGCAAGUAAGCAUUUGACAAUUCCGUUUCUUUUUGCCAGUUAUGGUAAAUUCAAAUCCAGAAAUGUUAAGCAGUUGGCCUUUCUCAAAUGAUAUUUUGCUAAGCAGUAAUCCAAAUACCAAAAUGCAUCUUGGCAUGUAUUACAAUGAAAAAGUGUUGACAUGCAUUCACACUUUAUUUCUUUUUUUUU